ACUCAAAGGAAUUGACGGGGGCCCGCACAAGCGGCGGAGCAUGUUGCUUAAUUCGAGGCAACGCGAAGAACCUUACCUGGGUUUGACAUGCGCGGAAAAGCCGCAGAGAUGCGGUGUCCUUCGGGGUCGCGCACAGGUGGUGCAUGGCUGUCGUCAGCUCGUGUCGUGAGAUGUUGGGUUAAGUCCCGCAACGAGCGCAACCCUUUUCCUAUGUUGCCAGCGGGUAAUGCCGGGGACUCGUAGGAGACUGCCGGGGUCAACUCGGAGGAAGGUGGGGAUGAGGUCAAGUCAUCAUGCCCCUUAUGUCCAGGGCUGCAAACAUGCUACAAUGGCCGGUACAAAGGGCUGCGAUACCGCGAGGUUGAGCCAAUCCCAAAAAGCCGGUCUCAGUUCGGAUUGGAGUCUGCAACUCGACUCCAUGAAGCCGGAGUCGCUAGUAAUCCCGGAUCAGCAACGCCGGGGUGAAUACGUUCCCGGGCCUUGUACACACCGCCCGU
rnacentral:rRNA from 1 species